GAUGAACGCUGACAGCAUGCUUAACACAUGCAAGUCCACUUGAACUUCGGAUUGGGCGGCGGACGGGUGAGUAACGCGUACAGAACUUGCCUCACAGCUAGGGACAACAUUUGGAAACGAAUGCUAAUACCUGAUAUUAUGAUUAUAUGGCAUCGUAUGAUUAUGACAGCUAUAUUCGCUGUGAGAGAUCUUUGCGUCCCAUUAGCUAGUUGGAGAGGUAACAGCUCACCAAGGCGAUGAUGGGUAGCCGCCCUGUGAGGGGGAUCGGCCACAAGGGGACUGGGAAACGGCCCUUAGGCGUUGUGGCAGCAGGAGUGGGGAAUAAUGGACAAUGGACCGAGAGUGUGAUCCAGCAAUUCUGUGUGCACGAUAAAGUUUUUCGGGAUGUAAGGUGGUUUCAGUUGGGAUGAAAGAAAUGACGGUACCAACAGAAGAAGCUACGGCUAACUUCGUG
rnacentral:rRNA from 1 species